rnacentral:hammerhead_ribozyme from 1 species
CGAUCACUGAGGAGCCCCAUAAUAGGGCGAAACGACCGUCCAGUGC